CCAGCAGCCGCGGUAAUACGGGGAGUGGCAAGCGUUAUCCGGAAUUAUUGGGCGUAAAGCGUCCGCAGGCGGUCUUUUAAGUCUGUUGUUAAAGCGUGGAGCUUAACUCCAUUUCAGCAAUGGAAACUGGAAGACUAGAGUGUGGUAGGGGCAGAGGGGAAUUCCCGGUGUAGCGGUGAAAUGCGUAGAUAUCGGGAAGNAACACCAGUGGCGAAGGCGCUCUGCUGGGCCAUAACUGACGCUCAUGGGACGAAAGCCAGGGGGAGCGAAAGGGAUUAGAUACCCCUGUAGUCCUGGCCGUAAACGAUGAACACUAGGUGUCGGGGGAAUCGACCCCCUCGGUGUCGUAGCCAACGCGUUAAGUGUUCCGCCUGGGGAGUACGCACGCAAGUGUGAAACUCAAAGGAAUUGACGGGGGCCCGCACAAGCGGUGGAGUAUGUGGUUUAAUUCGAUGCAACGCGAAGAACCUUACCAGGGUUUGACAUCCUGCGAAUCUUUUGGAAACAGAAGAGUGCCUUCGGGAACGCAGUGACAGGUGGUGCAUGGCUGUCGUCAGCUCGUGUCGUGAGAUGUUGGGUUAAGUCCCGCAACGAGCGCAACCCACGUCGUUAGUUGCCAGCAUUUAGUUGGGCACUCUAGCGAGACCGCCGGUGAUAAACCGGAGGAAGGUGUGGAUGACGUCAAGUCAUCAUGCCCCUUACAUCCUGGGCUACACACGUACUACAAUGCUACGGACAAAGGGCAGCAAACUCGCGAGAGCUAGCAAAUCCCAUAAACCGUGGCUCAGUUCAGAUCGUAGGCUGCAACUCGCCUACGUGAAGGAGGAAUCGCUAGUAAUCGCAGGUCAGCAUACUGCGGUGAAUACGUUCCCGGGCCUUGUACACACCGCCCGUCACACCAUGGAAGUUGACCACGCCCGAAGCCGUUACUCCAACCCUUGUGGAGGAGGACGUCGAAGGUGGGGCUGAUGACUGGGGUGAAGUCGUAACAAGGUAGCCGAU
rnacentral:rRNA from 1 species